rnacentral:rRNA from 1 species
CCUACGGGCGGCAGCAGCCGCGGUAAUACGUAGGGUGCAAGCGUUGUCCGGAAUUACUGGGCGUAAAGAGUUCGUAGGCGGUUUGUCGCGUCGUUUGUGAAAACCAGCAGCUCAACUGCUGGCUUGCAGGCGAUACGGGCAGACUUGAGUACUGCAGGGGAGACUGGAAUUCCUGGUGUAGCGGUGAAAUGCGCAGAUAUCAGGAGGAACACCGGUGGCGAAGGCGGGUCUCUGGGCAGUAACUGACGCUGAGGAACGAAAGCGUGGGUAGCGAACAGGAUUAGAUACCCUGGUAGUCU